AAUAUUCAAGUCGCAUUAAUGCGCAUUCAAUUCAAGAAAAGUUUGAAUCAUUUGGAUAAGAAGACAUUUAAAUAAACAAAUGUAUGUGUUGUGCAACAGAUAGUCUGUUGUAACAGGUAUAAACUGUUGCACAUUUGUCUGUUGCAAUCACGACACUGCACUUCUCUUUUCUUACAAAGAAUAAAUGUCUGCAAAGCAGAAAAAGAUGAGGAAACGCCAAUUCAAAUUCUAUAGAGAAAGCCAAAUCCAUAUCAUCUUGCACAGCCCAUGUUAAGGAAACUUUCAUAUUGGCAAGUCAUAGCUUACAUGGAACAAUCUUAAAUAUUCACAGCAGAUUUGUGCCUCCUGUUUUUGUUCGGCAAAUGGAUUAUAUUAUUCGGUGAUUUAGGAAAAUUGAGAGGAGAAUUUUUAUACAUAUACCAUAUAUAUUAUUUUGCAAAAAGUUAUAAUUCAAAUUGCUGGCAUCCUUUGUAACAAAUAGAAUUCUCUUUUUGGUGAAUCAAAUAUGGCAACAGACUCAUGGAAGAAACAUUCUAUGUGAACAAAGGGGUCUCAGGACUAUGGUACCAGUGACCAUUACCUUUCAAAUUGUGUUCAUGUAUUACGCAGGGAAACAGGUGUCAUUGAAAAA